rnacentral:tRNA from 1 species
AAUCCGCUGGUGUAAUCGGUAGCACGCCUGGUCUAGUAGAAUGCGCUACUCGGACAACUAGUCUGGGGGAUCAGGAAACCGCCGCUUCGAAUCCGGCGCGGACCA